rnacentral:rRNA from 1 species
GGGUGAGUAACACGUGAGUAACCUGCCCACAACUUUGGGAUAACGCUAGGAAACUGGUGCUAAUACUGGAUAUGUGCUCCUGCUGCAUGGUGGGGGUUGGAAAGCUCCGGCGGUUGUGGAUGGACUCGCGGCCUAUCAGCUUGUUGGUGGGGUAGUGGCCUACCAAGGCGGCGACGGGUAGCCGGCCUGAGAGGGUGACCGGCCACAUUGGGACUGAGAUACGGCCCAG